CCACUUGUUCUUCUCAUAUAUCUUCCUUAACAUAAUGUUGAUUUUAUUUCCAUGAUCAACUAAGGCCAAAAUUAGAUCUUUAAAAUCUCUCAACUUUAUAUAUGUUUUUGUUGUAGCUCUAGUCCAAUAAAGAACUAAAUAGCUACUUCUUCCUAUUCCAUCAUUAUCACAUUUAGAACAAGUGUUUAUACAUACUUCUAUUAUAUUCUUCUUUAUCU
rnacentral:lncRNA from 1 species